UACGUAGGGUGCGAGCGUUAAUCGGAAUUACUGGGCGUAAAGCGUGCGCAGGCUGUUUUGUAAGUCAGAUGUGAAAUCCCCGAGCUCAACUUGGGAACUGCGUUUGAAACUACAAGACUAGAAUAUGUCAGAGGGGGGUAGAAUUCCACGUGUAGCAGUGAAAUGCGUAGAUAUGUGGAGGAAUACCGAUGGCGAAGGCAGCCCCCUGGGAUAACACUGACGCUCAUGCACGAAAGCGUGGGGAGCAAACAGG
rnacentral:rRNA from 1 species